GAUGAACGCUGGCGGCGUGCCUAAUACAUGCCAGUCGAGCGAACAGACGAGGAGCUUGCUCCUCUGACGUUAGCGGCGGACGGGUGAGUAACACGUGGAUAACCUACCUAUAAGACUGGGAUAACUUCGGGAAACCGGAGCUAAUACCGGAUAAUAUAUUGAACCGCAUGGUUCAAUAGUGAAAGACGGUUUUGCUGUCACUUAUAGAUGGAUCCGCGCCGCAUUAGCUAGUUGGUAAGGUAACGGCUUACCAAGGCAACGAUGCGUAGCCGACCUGAGAGGGUGAACGGCCACACUGGAACUGAGACAGGGUCCAGACUCCUACGGGAGGCAGCAGUAGGGACUCUUCCGCAAUGGGCGAAAGCCUGACGGAGCAACGCCGCGUGAGUGAUGAAGGUCUUCGGAUCGUAAAACGCUGUUAUUAGGGAAGAACAAAUGUGUAAGUAACUAUGCACGUCUUGACGGUACCGAAUCAGAAAGCCACGGCUAACUACGUG
rnacentral:rRNA from 1 species